rnacentral:rRNA from 1 species
GAGAAAGUAAGCAAGGGCAGACGGUGGAUGCCUUGGCUCUCGGAGGCGACGAAGGACGUGAUAAGCUGCGAAAAGCCCGGGGGAGGCGCAAAUAGCCCUUGAUCCCGGGAUAUCCGAAUGGGGCAACCCGGCAGGCUGAAGGCCUGCCAUCCCGUAAGGGAGGCGAACGUGGGGAACUGAAACAUCUAAGUACCCAUAGGAGGAGAAAAUAAACAAUGAUUCCGUAAGUAGUGGCGAGCGAACACGGAAGAGCCCAAACCCAUGUCGUCUAGGCGACACGGGGGUUGUAGGACCACGACGUGGCAAGAAGGAAGGGAAAUGGAACGCCUUGGAAAAGUCGGCCAUAGACGGUGAAAGCCCGGUACAUGACUCCCUUACGAAGCCUAGUGGUAUCCUGAGUAGCGCGGGGCACGAGAAAUCUUGCGUGAAGCAGCGGGGCCCAUCCCGUAAGGCUAAAUACUCCCGAGAGACCGAUAGCGAACCAGUACCGUGAGGGAAAGGUGAAAAGAACCCCGAGCAGGGGAGUGAAAUAGACCCUGAACCCGUCUGCCUACAAGCGGUCGGAGCGUCGUAAUGACGUGACGGCGUGCCUUUUGCAUAAUGAACCUACGAGUUACCUUCCCCGGCAAGGUUAAGUUCUUGAGGAACGGAGCCGAAGCGAAAGCGAGUCUGAACAGGGCGCCAAGUCGGGGGGGGUAGACGCGAAACCGAGUGAUCUACCCUUGGCCAGGUUGAAGGUUGGGUAACACCAACUGGAGGACCGGAUGGGUAAGCGUUGAAAAGCUUUCCAAUGAGCUGAGGGUAGGGGUGAAAGGCUAAUCAAACUCGGAGAUAGCUCGUACUCCCCGAAAUGCAUUUAGGUGCAGCCUCUUUAUAGUAUAUCGUGAGGUAGAGCGACUGAUUGGAUGCGAGGGCUUCACCGCCUAUCAAGUCCAGAUAAACUCCGAAUGCGCGAUAUAUAUUUACAGGGAGUGAGGGCGCGGGUGCUAAGGUCCGUGUCCGAGAGGAGAAGAAUCCAGACCACCGGCUAAGGCCCCCAAAUGAUCGUUAAGUUGAACUAACGAGGUCGGAUCGCAGAGACAGCUAGGAUGUUGGCUUGGAAGCAGCCAUUCAUUUAAAGAGUGCGUAACAGCUCACUAGUCGAGCGAUCUGGCGUGGAUAAUAAUCGGGCAUAAACGAUCUGCCGAAGCCGUGGAUGUCGCAAGACAUGGUAGGGGAGCAUUCCAUGCCGCGUCGAAGAUGAGGGAUGACCCUUGUUGGAGCGCAUGGAAAAGCAAAUGUAGGUAUGAGUAACGAUAAGGGGGGCGAGAAACCCCCCCGCCGAAAGACCAAGGUUUCCUGAUCAACGCUAAUCGGAUCAGGGUGAGUCGGGACCUAAGGCAAAGCCGAACGGCGCCGCCGAUGGAAGAAUGGGUUAAUAUUCCCAUACUGCCUCAUGGAGUGACGUGGAGACGGAGAAGUGACAGUCCUGCCGGCUGACGGAAUAGCCGGUUGAAGGGUGUAGAUAUUGAUUCCCGUAGGCAAAUCCGCGGGGAGAGUCGAACCUGAGAGUAUACGGAGCGCUUGCGCAACGUAAUAUGGACGUAACCAUGCUCCCGAGAAAAUCCGCUAAACUUAUCCAUGCGGCACCCGUACCGUAAACGGACACACGUGGUCGGGUUGAGAAUACUGAGGCGCUCGAGUGAUUCACGGUUAAGGAACUAGGCAAAUUGACCCUGUAACUUCGGGAUAAAGGGUCCUCGUCGUAAGGCGAGGCGCAGAGAAUAGGUCCAGGCAACUGUUUAACAAAAACACAUGGCUGUGCUAAAUGGAAACAUGAUGUAUACAGCCUGACACCUGCCCGGUGCCGGAAGGUUAAGAGGAGAUGUCAUC